CGAGUGGCGAACGGGUGAGUAAUGCAUCGGAACGUGCCCAGUCGUGGGGGAUAACGCAGCGAAAGCUGCGCUAAUACCGCAUACGAUCUAUGGAUGAAAGCGGGGGACCGUAAGGCCUCGCGCGAUUGGAGCGGCCGAUGUCAGAUUAGGUAGUUGGUGGGGUAAAGGCUCACCAAGCCGACGAUCUGUAGCUGGUCUGAGAGGACGACCAGCCACACUGGGACUGAGACACGGCCCAGACUCCUACGGGAGGCAGCAGUGGGGAAUUUUGGACAAUGGGCGCAAGCCUGAUCCAGCAAUGCCGCGUGUGGGAAGAAGG
rnacentral:rRNA from 1 species